GAGCAAUUGGAGCUGAUGGGAAAAGCUAUCCAGAGGCACAACCUACAGGUACAAGCUGAUAUUGCACCAGCGUGGCUCACCCAUGGAAAAGCAGCUUGUCCACAAGGGUAAAAUCCUCCUGACAGGAUAAAAACAGAUAGGAAUGUGAAAGGGAUACAAGCUCCACAGCUCCCCGUGCAGAGCAUCCAAGUGUUCCCUUUCCAGAGCAAGAGGAGGAUUUCCAAACCUGACAGGAGCACAAGCACUGGGUACUGAGUAAAACGGUGAAUGAAGGUUGGAUCAUCAUACGUUUUUACCUCUAAAUUCUUCUGUCCUUGGAGCAAAUCAGUCGGUGUAAUUUGUAAUAUCACCUCACUCUCCAACAAGUCAGGAAGACUUGGAGCCCAUGAAAACAUUAUGUACACCAGAUACAGAAAGGAGAAACGGCAAAAGGAAAGGAAAUAUCACUAUUCUGUGCCACUUCAGCCUGCGUUGCUCUUUCCACGAGGUCACAGCUAGGUCCUGCAGGCUGCCAGACUGUCCAGCCCAGAGAAAAUGCACGGAUGGGGGAUUUUAGCAGGGUGUGCAAGAACAAGGCUUUGAGUGGUGUUUCUUUCCAGAAACAUUGGGAUUCCCAAAGCGUCCCUAGCCAAAACGUGAGUCGUGAAUGGUAAGUGAAAAAACACAGGCAA
rnacentral:lncRNA from 12 species